rnacentral:rRNA from 1 species
CCAGCAGCCGCGGUAAGACGUAGGGGGCUAGCGUUAUCCGGAUUUACUGGGCGUAAAGGGUGCGGAGGCGGUCUUUCAAGUCAGGAGUGAAAGGCUACGGCUCAACCGUAGUAAGCGCUUGAAACUGGGAGACUUGAGUGCAGGAGAGGAGAGUGGAAUUCCUAGUGUAGCGGUGAAAUGCGUAGAUAGUAGGAGGAACACCAGUUGCGAAGGCGGCUCUCUGGACUGUAACUGACGCUGAGGCACGAAAGCGUGGGGAGCAAACAGGAUUAGAUACCCUGGUAGUCCACGCUGUAAACGAUGAGUACUAGGUGUCGGGGGUUACCCCCUUCGGUGCCGCAGCUAACGCAUUAAGUACUCCGCCUGGGAAGU